rnacentral:rRNA from 1 species
GACGAACGCUGGCGGCGUGCUUGACACAUGCAAGUCGAACGGAAAGGCCUGCUUUCCCUUGUGGAUUGCGGGUACUCGAGUGGCGAACGGGUGAGUAACACGUGAGUGAUCUGCCCCCAACUUGGGUAUAAGCCUGGGAAACUGGGUCUAAUUCCCGAUAGGACUGCAGGGUGGUGCCUGUGGUGGAAAACGAUUUUCUAGUGGUUGGGGAUGAGCUCGCGGCCUAUCAGCUUGUUGGUGGGGUAAUGGCCUACCAAGGCGGCGACGGGUAGCCGGCCUGAGAGGGUGGACGGCCACAUUGGGACUGAGAUACGGCCCAGACGCCUACGGGAGGCAGCAGUGGGGAAUAAUGCACAAUGGGCGGAAGCCUGAUGCAGCGACGCCGCGUGGGGGAUGACGGCCUUCGGGUUGUAAACUCCUUUCGACCGCGAGGAAGCCACCUGGUUGGAAGGGUGGUGACGGUAGUGGUAGAAGAAGCACCGGCUAACUACGUG